AACAUACUGCUAGUAAGAUUACCAAAUAUCGUAGAUGUGCUCUCAGCGAAUUUCCAAUAAGAGUUCUGACCGCCAGAGCUGAGGUAUUAUUUGUUCUAAUAUCAUACUCAACUGAAUCUUUGUUCAAAGGUUGAGUAUUUGGGUAAUGGUACAAUUAAAUUAGUUUACAGAUUUGAUCUUAUGCCAUUAAAUAGUUAAUUUUGUGAUUAAGUGCUCAACCUUAUAAUACGAACCUAUGUAGCUCGCAAUGCUCAAGGUCUAGCCAUGAUUUUCAUGUGUGUUGCAAUCGCUCGAUGACGGGGUUUGUGUUUUACUACAUGGUGCAGGAUUUGGUUGGUUCGUAAUUAGUUAUCCACAUAAUAGCAAUUGAUAGUGUUAAAUUUUAGAUCCACUAAGGAACUAUCCCUUAAGUAAUUUAUAUGUUUGUAAGUGUUGUUAUGUAGCUAUACCGAACGAAAGAAACACUCAAAUUACUGAAAAAAUCCUUUUGAAGAAGAAGUAGAGAAGGGGGUGAAUAUAUUUAGUUGGCAUUUUGAGUUAAUGAGGGCAACUGAAUAGUAUGUGAUGUUGGACCGGGACGAAUGAAAAUAGGCAUGUGAUUCUUAAGAGGAAAAAAAUGCCAGAUUCACAAAUAGAAAUAUACACAGUAGGGGGGGGGGACUCCAUAUUGGUUUGCCUAAAAACGAUUAUGAGUUUCUCCAAAAAUGUAAUGAAGGGAAUAAUUAUUUGAAGAUUUAUGCAAAAUCGUACAUAAAUGCAUUGAGCAUUUAAAUGCUAAUUAUAAAGUUGCGAGUUAAAACUAGCCAUCUUCAUCCAAAUUAACUUGCUCAUGAUACAAUCUAGAUGUAACACUACAGAAAAUUGAAUUCAUAUUGCAUAGCUUUGAAAAAGGUAACAUAAGUACUCUUCAAAAUACCACAUCGUGUUAACGAGAAUUUUGAAAAAUGGAUCCAAAGUCCAACGCAAAACCUUUCAAUAUUGUAAUUUCGAACUAAGGCCGCAUCUAUGUAAUGCAGCAGUAUCACAAGAAUUUGAGAGGAAACAGUUCAAUCUAUGCUUGUAGUAAAUUGCAUGGAGGAGAUGACGUUAAUGGUGUUUGAGAGGAAACAGUUCGACCUAAUGGUGUUAAUGUUUCCAUACCAAGGUACUAAGUAGGAUAAACUCUUACGCAAAAGAAAAAUCUUUUGGAUGUGCUCUCCCAACACUAUAUAAACCCUAUCCUCCUCCCCCUCCUCUACACAUAGGGCAGUUGAAUCCUCUCAAAGACAAAGGAGCAAGUACCACUUUUUCUACCAGACUGUGCUUGCAAUGGAAAUUCCAGGGGCAUCAUCUCGGCGCUCCAUAGCCAUGUCAUUGGCCUCACUGCUAAAAAGAUUCAGGGGCAUACCACAGUCGCCAAAAGGGUGCCUCUACAACCCAAAGAGUACCGGCGUCGGGAUUGUCUCGGCUAUUAUGGAACCAACUGCUGCAUGCCAAUGCAUUGUUGGGCCUCAUAUCCACGCCAAUGCGCGUGAGAUCCUAGAGGUUACACUACCAAACCUUUGUUGGAGCAAUAAGAGGCCAUUCCGACCAGCCAUACUGUCGUGCGGUCUAUGCCGCUGCUGGAUCGGUAGUGGCACCAUCUACAUGUUCAAAGGUGAGAUGGGAUUCUGUAAAAAAGAGUGUCGCGGCGACUAUAUCAGGGAGCAAUUGGAAAAACAGACACAGACAGUGAGGUGGUGUGCAAGAGAAAAGGUGCCACCAAUGGAGGAAGAUAAGGAAGGCGACCAGAGCUGCAUUUUCUUCACCUGCGCUGGCAGGCUAUGAUGCACAUACAUGUAUGUUUGAGAAUUGUAUGGGCUUAGAAGGACUGGAACCUAUUUUUCACAACUGUAUAACUUGGUGCUUUUGCAAGUAAUAAAACAUGAUCGUUAGCAAAUA